rnacentral:rRNA from 1 species
UACGGAGGGUGCAAGCGUUAAUCGGAAUUACUGGGCGUAAAGCGCGCGUAGGCGGUUUGAUAAGUCGAUUGUGAAAUCCCCGGGCUCAACCUGGGAAUUGCAGUCGAGACUGUCAGACUAGGGUGUGGGAGAGGGUGGUGGAAUUCCCGGUGUAGCGGUGAAAUGCGUAGAUAUCGGGAGGAACAUCAGUGGCGAAGGCGACCGCCUGGCCCAACACUGACGCUGAGGUGCGAAAGCGUGGGUAGCAAACAGG